rnacentral:rRNA from 1 species
GAUCAUGGCUCAGGAUGAACGCUAGCUACAGGCUUAACACAUGCAAGUCGAGGGGAAACGAUAGAGAAAGCUUGCUUUUUCUAGGCGUCGACCGGCGCACGGGUGAGUAACGCGUAUCCAACCUGCCCACCACUUGGGGGAUAACCUUGCGAAAGUAAGACUAAUACCCAAUGAUAUCUCUAGAAGACAUCUGAAAGGGAUUAAAGAUUUAUCGGUGAUGGAUGGGGAGUGCGUCUGAUUAG